GGAAAAAUAAUUUAUUAAACGGCAGGGUAUUUUGAGCAGAUCAAAUCUUUUAAAACAUAAAGUCCAUGCAAAGAGAAAUAGAAGAGUUUCGUGGUGGAGAGAAGUUUGCAAACUACUGACCUCUUCCAACCCUCUCACUUUAUAACUAGGAAAGGAAACGGAGGUGGAGUGAGAUGUUGGGUUACCUGACAAGCUAGAGGCAGUCGGGAUCUUCCUGACAUCCUUGGAUGGCUCAGGGAAGCAGAGCACACCGCACCCUGGAGGAAUGAGACCACUGCAGAUCCCAAGAGCAGGAAAAGCUGGAGACCAGCGACACCCACUGCCCAGACCGUGCGAGGACCGCGAGUGUCCCAGGCAAAGGACCUCAGAACUGGGGCUCGUGGGGACAGUGUGGAUGAUGAACGGAGGUGGCUGAAGGAAAGCACACUGAACAGGAAUAAAAGACAGACAGCCUUGUUUCCUGGAGGCCAGGCUUUCCUCGUCACAGGGGCACUGGGGGUGUCAGACACUGCACUGGCUUGUGACGGCGUAUCACUGGCCCUGCGGGGUGGGCUGAAAAAGCAAGUGAGUUCAUAGAGACCUCAAAGGGAAGCAAAGGGAAAGACGCAGAAAGACUCCCAGUUGUGCAGGGGACAAACUUGCCUCUUGGGAUUUCCCUGGUCACCUCUCCCAUAGUACCUGAUUCCUGCCUCUGUGAAAGAAACCUGAUGUCAGCCUCUGUGGCUGAACCCAUGGCUGGGGUCACCCAAAAGUGGGGGCAGGGAAGUUCCUGCAAGAGACUGUCCUAAAUGAUUCUGGGAUGGGGCAAGUUGGGAUUCCAAAGAAAGAAGUA
rnacentral:lncRNA from 13 species